AUGCAGGCUCUGGGGAAGGAGGAAACUGACCUGUCUUUGUGUUUCAGAUCUCAGGACCAGGUGUCGAUUUGUUUCCAAGACAUGGCGUCUGCUCCUAUUUUCUCCAGCAGGAGCCUUUCCACCUUAACUGGCAAGUCCUUCAGGGAGGGUGCACACGCCCAGCUGUGCGCCAGCCAGCCCCCUCCCCAGCACCCUCUCGGCAAGUACUGGGACUACUACCCCACCAGGGAAGGAGCAAUGAGAUUGUGCGAAAUCUUUCCCCAAGAGGGAAAAACGGAACCACACAGCAGAAAAUAGAGCCAGAUCGACGGACGCCCUUCUAUGUGAGAUGCUGUUUUGUAAAACAGUAAAUGGAGGUACAAAGGGAUAGUGUUUCUUCAUUCCAGAGCACUCCACAGUCCAGCAGGCAGGCAGGUUUACUUAUUCAAGGGCAUCAAGCCUUGUCCCGGGCACUGCUAACACAGUGCAAAUAAGGCAGAGUGACUGCCCUCAAAGAUCUUACAGCCCACCUGGGAAAGACAGCCAAGUACUUAAAUAGAUAAACAGGAUCAUUUCAAGUACGGAGAAGUGCUGUGUAAAAGAGGAGAGGUAUGCCACAGAGGGCUGAGGGCAGCUGCUUUGGUCAGGAAGGCCAAGGAGAGCCUUGCUGAGAUAGUGGUAUUGGAGAUGUGACCUGAGUCAAUUGUAGGUGGAUAUGAGGGAAAGGCAUCCCAAGAGUUGAGGAAUAGCAGAUGCAAAGGCCCUGAGGCAGAACAGGAAUGAGCUUGGCAUGUUUGAGAGAGAACAAGAAGGCCUGUGUGGAUGGAAGGUGGCCAGAGUGUGAGUGGGGCACGGUGAGGGAGUGUAUUCUCCUAAUUGUGAUGAGAAGCCCUGGAGGUCUUCCAGGUGGGGCAUGGCAGGUCUACACUGUGCUGCAGAAAGAGCUCUCUGACUGAUGGACAGGAAGUGGACCAUCGUGCGUGAGAGGGGCAGAAAGACCAGCGCAAAGCGUACUGCUGCAGUCCAGGCAGAAGAUGUGGUGGGCUGGACCAGGUGGAUUCAGUGAAGUACUGAGAAAUGAGUAGCGGUCAUGGUCAAGGCAGGUUUCAAAGGCAGAGUCAGCUGGACUUCAAGGUCCAAAGACAGACGUGGCAGAGAUGGGCACAAAGUAAUGCACACGCUGGACCAGGAGCAGCUCGGGGCGGGGAGCAGCUCUGGCCCCAGUUCCCUAACACAAGCCUCUGCAGCCCCUGCCUUAAAAUAUAGUGUAUUAAUAGAAAAUGUGAGGUUCAGGAAGGCCAACAGAUCUGGAGGCAAC
rnacentral:lncRNA from 1 species